rnacentral:lncRNA from 1 species
GAAUCACAUGUCAGGCAUUCCGAAACCACCUCUCAGAGCUGCCAGAACCACAUGCCGGACACUCCGGAAUCACCUGUCGGGCAUGCCGGAACCACCUCUCAGACGUGCCAGAACCUCGUGCCGGACACGCCAGAACCACCUGCCGGACAGACCGGAACCAUCUGCCAGACACGCCGGAACCACAGGCUCGACACGCCGGAACCAAAGCCGGACAUGAAAAAUCACCUGCCGGCUACGCCAGAACCACUUGUCGAACACUCCGGAAUCACCUGCCGGGCAUGCCGGAACCACCUCUCAGAGGUGCCAGAACCACAUGCCGGACAGUCCGGAAUCACCUGCCGGGCGUGCCGGAACCACCACUCAGAGCUGCCAGAACCACAUGCCGGACACUCCGGAAUCACCUCCCGGGCUUGCCAGAACCAUCUCUCAGACUUGCCAGAACCAUGUUCCGGACACGCCAGUACCACGUGCCGAGUAUGCCAGAACCACCUGAUCCACUGCCCAGAACCACCUGCCGGACACGCCAGAAUCACCCGCCGGCUACGCCAGAACCACUCGGCAGACACUCCGGAACCACCUGCCGGGCAUGCCGGAACCACCUCUCAGAGGUGCCAGAACCACAUGCCGGAAACUCCGGAAUCACCUCCCGGGCUUGCCGGAACCAUCUCUCAGACGUGCCACAACAUCGUGCCGAAGAGACCAGAAGCACCUGCCGAGAACGCCGGAAACACCUGCUCGACUCACCAGAGCCACCAGCCGGACACAUCAGAAACACCUGCGGGGUACGCCAGAACCACUUGGAGGACUCUCCGGGAUCACCUGCCAGGCAUGCCGGAACCACCUCUCAGACGUGCCAGAAGCAUGUGCCGGACAGGCCGCAACCACCUGCCGAGUAUACCGGAACCACCUGAUCCACUCCCCAGAACCACCCGCUGGACACGCCAAAAUAACCUGCCGGCUACGCCAGAACCACUUGGCGAACACUCCGGAAUCACCUGCCGGGCAUGCCGGAACCACCUCUCAGACUUUCCAGAACCAUGUUCCGUACACGCCGGUACCACCUGCAGAGUAUGCC